UGAAAAGUAAGGCCACUCAGCAAAAUCAGGCAGUGUGUACACAAGGAAGGAAAUGGCAGGCUGUUCAUAUGCAGCAAGAUCCACACUUGGCCAAACCUGGGGUCACAGAGAUGGACAUGGAAUCGAGGGCAGAAGAUCUGGGUUUGAGUCCAGCAGUGCUUUAGAGGGAAGUUUCUGCAAGUUACAUGUCAGCUUUGGAGGAAAUGCAGUCUCCUUUUCACUGCAAAGAAGCUCCUUCCUCAAGGGGAAAGAGACAAUUAGGUUUCAGACUUGGUUAUGGACUGAAUGUUUGUGUCUCCCUAAAUUCAUAUGUCGAAGUCCUAACACUAAUUGAUCGUGUUAGGAGAUGGGACCUUUGGAUGUGACUAGAUGUAGAUGAGAUCAUGAGGGUUGAGGCCCCAUGAUG
rnacentral:lncRNA from 1 species